CCAUGAGGGCUCGUAACAGUCGAGCGGAUGACGGGAGCUUGCUCCUUGAUUAGCGGCGGACGGGUGAGUAAUGCCUAGGAAUCUGCCUGGUAGUGGGGGACAACGUUUCGAAAGGAACGCUAAUACCGCAUACGUCCUACGGGAGAAAGCAGGGGACCUUCGGGCCUUGCGCUAUCAGAUGAGCCUAGGUCGGAUUAGCUAGUUGGUGGGGUAAUGGCUCACCAAGGCGACGAUCCGUAACUGGUCUGAGAGGAUGAUCAGUCACACUGGAACUGAGACACGGUCCAGACUCCUACGGGAGGCAGCAGUGGGGAAUAUUGGACAAUGGGCGAAAGCCUGAUCCAGCCAUGCCGCGUGUGUGAAGAAGGUCUUCGGAUUGUAAAGCACUUUAAGUUGGGAGGAAGGGCAGUAAGUUAAUACCUUGCUGUUUUGACGUUACCGACAGAAUAAGCACCGGCUAACUCUGUGCCAGCAGCCGCGGUAAUACAGAGGGUGCAAGCGUUAAUCGGAAUUACUGGGCGUAAAGCGCGCGUAGGUGGUUCGUUAAGUUGGAUGUGAAAGCCCCGGGCUCAACCUGGGAACUGCAUCCAAAACUGGCGAGCUAGAGUACGGUAGAGGGUGGUGGAAUUUCCUGUGUAGCGGUGAAAUGCGUAGAUAUAGGAAGGAACACCAGUGGCGAAGGCGACCACCUGGACUGAUACUGACACUGAGGUGCGAAAGCGUGGGGAGCAAACAGGAUUAGAUACCC
rnacentral:rRNA from 1 species